GACUGUUUGGGGACCUUGUCUGAGGGGAUACACAUGUGUGAGAGGGUCUUGAACGACCUGAAGGAUCUCAGUGAUGUUCUAGUGAGGAAGUCUCUCCAGGAUGUGACCUUACCAUCGCAGAAGUGACCAGAAGAGGAAAAGCAUGCUUCUAAUGUAAUUAUAAUAAACUGAAAAAGUACAGUGACAAGGA